UACGUAGGGUGCAAGCGUUGUCCGGAUUCAUUGGGCGUAAAGAGCUCGUAGGCGGCUGUUCAAGUCGAACGUGAAACUCGGAGCUCAACUCCGAGCCUGCGUUCGAUACUGGACGGCUAGAGUCUGGUAGGGGGAUCUGGAAUUCCUGGUGUAGCGGUGGAAUGCGUAGAGAUCAGGAAGAACAUCGGUGGCGAAGGCGCUCUGCUGGACCAUAACUGACACUCAGGGACGAAAGCUAGGGGAGCGAAUGGG
rnacentral:rRNA from 1 species